rnacentral:tRNA from 1 species
GGGGGUGUAGCUCAGCUGGGAGAGCGCUUGGCUGGCAGCCAAGAGGUCAUCGGUUCGAUCCCGUUCACCUCCACCA